CUACGGGCUGCACCAGUGAGGAAUAUUGCACAAUGGGGGGAACCCUGAUGCAGCAACGCCGCGUGGAGGAUGACGCAUUUCGGUGUGUAAAUUCCUUUUAUAUGUCAAGAAAAUGACGGUAGCAUAUGAAUAAGCACCGGCUAACUCCGUGCCAGCAGCCGCGGUAAUACGGAGGGUGCAAGCGUUACUCGGAAUCACUGGGCGUAAAGGACGCGUAGGCGGGUUGGAAAGUCAGGUGUGAAAUCCUACAGCUUAACUGUAGAACGGCACUGGAAACUUCUAAUCUAGAGUAUGGGAGGGGGAGAUGGAAUUAGUGGUGUAGGGGUAAAAUCCGUAGAUAUCACUAGGAAUACCUAAAGCGAAGGCGAUCUCCUGGAACAUUCCUGACGCUAAGGCGUGAAAGCGUGGGGAGCAAACAGGAUUAGAUACCCGAGUAGUC
rnacentral:rRNA from 1 species